rfam:Zea mays cultivar B73 chromosome 9, whole genome shotgun sequence.
GCCGAGCUCUGUAGCGAGAGCUUGUAACCCGAGCGGGGGCAUUAAGGUGGUGCGGAUUCUUUGCGAUGGCUUUCUGGGCCCGGGCUCGCUAUGUGCCUUUGGCCGGCCUGCCCGUCCCAAGUUGGUAGUGGCUGGCGGAGGCUUUAGCGGAAGCUUUGGUCUCUCCAGACCUGAAGUGGCAGGAAUGGCGUGAGGCUGGCUUCACAGAGCAGCGAUCACUGCCCGCUUCCAACGGUGGGAGGAUAACGGGCCGCUGCACUUCGAGCCCAACUCAGGCCCAGAGCCUCACUAAGCAGACCACCAUCUUU